ensembl:lncRNA
UAUAUGCACACAGGAUAAUAUAUUUAUACACAGUAUAAUAUAUAUUAACUGUCAAUAGAUUAAAAAAAAUGAACUAAUUAAUCGUGUCCUCGUGCACUUUGCGCUCAACUCUCCACAAUUAAAGGCUGUGUUGGAAGUGCCAACAAUCUUCCCACAUUUAACCUGGAGGCUUUCCAACCGCGGCCUUUAAAUAUUUUGUUGCAUUAAUCUCAGCCACAUUAAUUGCAUAGAUUAAUGCAUUUAUGUUGACAGCCCUAAUUUUAUAUAUAUAUGUUAUUUAUUAUACUGUGUUGCCGUUGACAGUGGCAAAAAUAAGAUGUUGGAAUAAAUAUUGAAUAUUUAACUGCAAAGUAUUCAUGUGUUUUUCAUACCGUAUUUGUUUUGCAUUAACGUUGAACUUCAGAUUUCACUGAUCUUCAGACUGAUUGAGUCCGGCCAGUGUUUGCCGGUAUGACGUACAGGAUUUGGGUUCACCUGCAUACCUCUGCUUCCCUUUUACACUGCCGACGACUAAACAGUGAAGGUAGAGUAAGCACACAGCUAUUUUAAGUACAAGCUUGGAUACAAAAAAUCCUUUAGCAAAAAAGUAGAGAGGAUUCCGCUGUGUUGCCGCUCUCCUUCUCUCUGAGGUGCAAUAUGUGGCUCGGUACCACCGGGCGGCUGCAGAAUAACAGCUUUUAGGUUUUUGCUUCUCAGAACUGCAUCCCGGUGCAGUUCUGAGAUGCAGACAGCAAACAUUGGUGGUCAGUCAAGGCAGACGGCAGCUAAUGAUGAAUUAACACACUGUACAGUAUUUCUGUAUAUUAAGCUGUGGUUAUUUGCUUUGUGAGACUUAAUCAACUGUAACUUCAGCGACAUCAAGGACGAGAACAACUUACGAGUAAACGCAAAGUCGCGCAAAAUGGCCGUUUUUCCUGAAGCUCGCUCGUACAAACAUUUAGAUUCACAAAACCCUUUUAACUGGACAGACACGUCAGGUGAACGCCACCUUCCCAUGAGGAGGUGGAAGUGAGAUAAGAUACUUUCAUCUACAACCUCAAAUAAAGAUAAUCUGAAGCUUUCCGUUUGGCCCAAUUGACACAUUUCAUUAACAAAAAUGGCAGAAAAGAAGAGCUUUGCUGUUCAUUGCUGUUGGGAACCAGCAUAUAAAAAUAGUCGCCCCUAGUUGGGGCAUAGUUAGCUGUAUCGGUAGUUGAAUUAGGGAAGAUCUGGUCAAGGAUUUAACCUGGAGUUAUGAGAGAGGAACAAAAGGUAGAGGAAAGAAUAUUAGUUAGAAGUGUUACAGGGGUUGAAUCCACCAGAGAAUUUUCUCUCUGACAAACGUUUAUAAGCAUGUUAUCCUUAUGAGAGUAAUAAUAACACAGAGGCUCCCUAAUCUGAACCAAGAAAACUCCUGAUUACUCCGAUAUCAUCAACUGCAGCAUGACUUCACUUUCUCUACUUCUACCUUACACAGUAAAAACCCUUUAUAUUUACUCUGCUUACCAGAACUUUAAAAAUUAAUUUUGCUUAAAGUCAUCUCAACCAAAAUGUUUGAAAAGCACAGAAGUAUAGCACAUUCAUAUCAAACACCUUGGACGAUAUCCAGCAGACCGAAGCCCCAGCUGGAUGGAACCGGUUGAAAACAGGAUGAGAACAUGUUUGGUAAAAACACUGGGAAAGUUGACCUGACAUUUUAUUUAAAAAUCAUUAUGAAAGUUAUUUUGAAAGCUUCCCAAGCCUUCAAAUUGGCAAUGUGUUAGAUAUUUUGUGGAAAUAAUUGUGGCCAGCUGAGGAGAGCUAGAGAGCCUCAACCUAUCUGAAGCAUCGGCCCCGGGGCCCCGUGUCGUCCAGGUAUCUGUCUGAUGUGUACACAUCUUGGACGUGGAGAGGCUCGUCCUGGCCCUCCUCCCCCCGCAGGUGAAUGUCACGCAGGGAGCUCUUGCUCAGGACUCGGACGCAGAGUAGAGGUUCAGCUGAAGCUUUUAUUUCCCAACAAAAGGACACAGGGAAAUAUCUGGAAACAAAAAACUCCUCCCAAGAGGGAUGAACGGGGAACUGCUCUGGCUAAACUAAUAGAGUAAGCUAACUCGAAGAGCUGAAUAAUCAAAAGUUGCAAGAACCAAAAACCCUUUUACCGAGGAAAUAAGAAGAUAAUCACUCACAAAAAAAGGCUGUGAAAUAAUUCAAGGAGCUGUGGAGCAAAAAACUGCAUAAGGCCAACUAAGGAGUCUAUAACAAAACCACGACUUGGACUUGAUUCUACCAUGAGGCGGGUGUGCAAGACCAAUGGACAUGACACACUGGCACAGGACAAGGGGGGACGCAGACUGUAAGUACACAUGAGGGACGUGUGGGAACAGGUGGACACGAUCAGGCAUCGGGGGAGACAAUCGGACUGGUGACACAUGAGGAAGAGCAAGGAACCGGAAACGAGAGGAGAGUUAAUUUCCAAAAUAAAACAGGAAGUCACAAAACAAACGUGGAGACAGGACAAAAACACAACUUGACAUACAGGUGUGAAAUCUUUCACGUAACACCUUUACACAGUUGUUUGUUUGGUUGAUCUUUGCACCAUUGUUUAGUUGGUUCAUUUAGUUUGAUACUAUUCUAUUCUCUUGUAUAUAAUCUGUGUUUUAUAUUUAAUACGUGGCUUUAUUUGUAUACAUGUACUGCCGUUGCUAAAACAUUUCUCCAUGCAUGUUUAAUAAGCGUAUCUAUUUAUCAUGAGCGGGCCUCCUCGGCUGUUUUCUUCUGCCUGACUUCAACUUUUUCCUGCAAGUGGACACUAGUGGUGAAAGGAUGAUUAGACGACCUGCACAUUCUCCCAAGUCUCCCGGUCGUUAAUUUCCAUGUAGGCGUGAUCAAUCCGAACCACGGACACAGCGGAUGAGAUGGUUGGUUGGUUUUUGGAAAGGCUUCAUCAGCCCCUUAUUGAUAAAAGCUUGUUGCUUUCACACGAGAGUGCUUGACCUUAUUAAUCGCUCAGGGAGAUGUGAGGGGUCGUUGCGUUCAAACCGUGCAUUCAUCUGUUUAGUCAUCACGUAAGCAUCCACCCUGCAAGCGCAAGGAUCUACUGUGCAAAUUCACCUCUUACGUCGCUGCGGAGGUCAGAGGCCACUGGUAGCCGCUGUCAAUAGAAGUAAAAACAGAGUAAACAGACACAACUACUCGAUUCUUUUACCUGUGUUUGAUUCUUUCCUCAGUCGGACUCGUUAUCGCUAUAAAAUGAAGCUGUAUGGGUGGACAUCCCCCCCCUCCCCCCUCCCAGAAUAACACAUAUAAAGCAUAAUAAAUCAACACGGCUCAGUCAGUGUGAGCGAUGCGGCUUCAGGUUGAUUAUAAUGCUUGUGUGAUGUCUGUCUGAAGGCAGGUGUUUCUCUUGUUUGAUCGCUGUUCUGUUUCCUUUUCGCAGCGGUUAACAGCCGAUAAGAUAAACCCCAUUUCUCAGGUCUGCCCGCUAACGCUUCUCAGCAACGAACUUGGUUGGAACUAUCUUGAACGAGAAGCAAAACAAUCAUUCGACGAAGCCUUAACACAAGGCCAGACCCUCUGAUGGAGAAGCCAUGUUCCUCUCUGGAGCAGCUUUAUUAAUAUGCAAAGCUCAUGUAAAUGCAGGAUCAGUCAUUUGUCACUUGAGGGGGAGCAGGAGCACCAGCAGAGUGGCUCCAUGCAUCUGCUUGAGAUCCUCUUGUUCCGUUAGGGCUUUAGUUGGAGGAAGUGAGACGGACUGCUUUUUUUCAUCAACUGACAGUGAUUACAUUUAUUCCCCUCAUUUAAUUGUCACCCGCCCACACACUGUGAAAAACCCACGCAUACUAAGCACGUGGGUAUGUACCGACUUCCAACCAAAAUUUGCUUUUGGGAUAAUUCUAUGGACUCGUAAUUAUUUCAACGCUAAGUUGUUUUCUAAUGUGUAUUUGGGUAUUUUGCCGCCGGCGGUGCAACAGAUGAACACACUUAAUUCUCCAUCCGAAGCCCCGAGCUGCAUAUAAGAUUUAGCAUAGCAUCACUAGCUAUUGUGGGGAGCAUGGUCAUUUUUUUUUUUUUUACCCAAACAACACUUGCACUUACAUAACGCUCCGCUGAACAGAUGUUACGUACACAGGCAUGCAGCCUUUUCUCAUUAUGAGUCGAGGGCUUGGUGAUCUGAGAUGGAGCGGCAAAGUUUAAUACAGUUUAUAAAACAGAAAGCUCAUGCAUUAAUAGAAAAAAAACAUUUAGUCAAUACUGACACUAAACACAAAGACAGCACAAAACAAAUGGGCUUGUGUCACAGUGGGACAGCAGCAAUAGCAGCAGGUAAGUUACUUGAAUAAUGCAAGUAUUCACUUGAGUAAUCACUCACCAGCAACCGGCUUCUAUGUCGGAUGCGGUUCUAUUGCUUAAAUCGGCCCAACGAGGAGAGGUGGUCUUAACAGAUGAUCCUGCCAGACAUGACAUGAUCAUUGUAGUUUGCACUAUAAUGAGCCUACAGUAAACAAGUGCAGCCAACCUAGUAGAUAUCUGAUCCUGCCUUUUUUAGAAGCCGACCAACCAACAUUUGUCAGUUCCUCUAGCGCCGCUCACCGAUUAUUUGAGGAUGAGCGAGUGUCAACAGCUGGUGUCGUUGACAUCGCCUGGCUCAUCAGAUGUCAGCUCGCGUUGAUGAGGGAAAACAGAGACACAAUUCAUGCUCUUUAUUUUUAUAAAUGUUACAUCAGCACCUCCAAAAGUCAUCAGGGCUGCAACUCGCCUGCAACCUCCUCCUCCUCCUCGGAGCUACUAAGCAGACGCCUACACAGGAACAACUUGAAAAGGUUAAACGUUUGUUGGACUUAUUCCUGGGAGGGAGCACAUUAGUUAAAUGUGGAGCUGUGGGCUAAUUUGUGUUUUGUUUUGGUCGGUGCCGGACCCACGAGCGAGCCGCUAGGCGCUUUCCAUUCCUCUCCCUGAAUGAGCUGAGCCGCUAUAGUCCGGAUACGCAUAUUUAACUUCACCCCACGAGGGUUCACAUCUGCAUACACCCACAGUUAGCCGUGGCCACCACGCACGACCAUUUUUUAUUCUGUAUUCUGACCUUUACGUACUCGCAAAAAGCAUUCCAGCAUAAGACCAGACUGAUUGGCACAACGAGACUUCAUCUCAAAGUCUCGGGUGCAAACUUUUAAAAUUAAUUCUGGAAUAUUCAGAAACAGUGAUUACACGUCCCAGAGUGACAUUUGAGGAUGAAAUUAAAACUACCAUUAUGAAUAAUUUGAAUCGCAUAAGAUUAAAACGGAUUCCUAGUGAAAUUGUUACCAUUAGAAGUUGCACAAAAUCUAGCUAGAUGGCCUCCGUCCUCCAUAAUGUCAAAGUGUCAUUCUCUGAUCCCACGGGGGUAAUGAUCUCAAUGAGAAAUGGAUAUUUAAAUACAGAUUAUAAAAAGUACUGUUAUAAAUCCGCGGCCAUAAUUCAACCACGAAAAUUUCACCUCUGUGUAACCUGUACCUGAUCAGGGAGUAAUGACUUGCUGCAAAACGGAUCACCUGCUGGUUCUCCAGUAAGUGAUCCGUAUUCAUAUGACAAGAGUUCAUUCAUUCAAAGGCAGCUGCCGGACAGACUCUCUUGAAUUGUGUUGUGGAUAUUAAUGGCCAUCAUAGGAUGAUUGCGCAUAGAGACGCCGCUCCGCUAACGCUUUCUCCUCUGAGACGGUGUUUUCCAAACUGUAUUUGGGGGAAGAUGAAUCCAAACUGUGAGUGAGCACUAACCGAUCAAAAUAUGCAUUUCACAAAAGAAGAAACAAUCAUGUGUAAGUAUUCAAGUUGCAAGAGGAAAACUUGGACAACUCCCAUAUUUCGCAAGGAAGCCCCUCCAUAAAGCAUAACCUGCUUUAUUGUCUUUUAGACUUUAGAAUCCCGCUCUCAUGAUAUAUAUAAGAACACUUUUCUCAUUCACUUAAUAAUACAUUUAAAACAAAUGAACGCAUUUAAAUGGUCGUUGGUCAACCCUUAACGGGUAGCAUCUAAAAUAGCUGUUUGCUUUAAAGACGUCCCAUGUAUUGUGUCCAAUCAAAUGGUCAUAUUUAAUUGAGCCUUAAAUAAUGCAAUUAAAUAGCAGUCCGCUCUUGUGCCUGCUAACGUACCCCUUCACUGUAGAUAAAAUGACUCGUUCAAUUAUUUAUGAGAGAUGGGAGGAAAAGCAGAGCCGGCCCGAGACUAUAGGCUUAUGAUAAAUGAAAUAAGCUGAAUGCAUUUCCAUUUAGAGCGGACAGGGAUUCAAACAGACGAUUCAAUGAAACCCACCAGCCUAAGUGAAAACGGAGUCACCAUUAAUAAAAGACUUUAGCGUUCUUGGAGCAAUGAUGAGGAAACGCAUUUGCAACGGUCAUACCAAAGCGUCAUCGUGUGAUAAGGAGAUGUGGAAUACGCUGAUAUGAGAAAAUGUAGGUUUUCAAGGUUAAAAGAGAACAUUAGGCAGAAGCUUAGGUCGAUAAUGAAAGGAGACUGUAACCAAGAGGACUUCAAAGGAGUCAAAGAUUAUCAAGAUGUAUUUCCAUGUCAUUAAAACACAAAUUACAGCCGAGAAAGGCAACUGCUGUUAACUUCACUCCAUUUGUGAGGCACUGUUUAAUGGAUCCUGUCGCACUGAGAAAAGUGUGUGGUUGUUCAAGAAAAACGAACCAACACCUAAAACCAAGAGGGCCCUUUAAGUAAAAAUGCUACCAUUUGUUGGUUAAAAUAGUUUUUAUGGGGCUUUAAAGGAAACGCGCUUUUAACGGCAGCUUCCAUCGUCAUCGUUUGCCAGUUAACUACCAUCCACAGAAAAAUAAAUGUUCCUCAAAGGCUAAAUCAGCCCCGCCUUAAAAAUGCAUUUGAAUUGCUCCUUGACCUUUGGCAAAAGACAGUGCAUCAGCUUAGUACGGAGUCACUACAGCAAAAUGCAUCAGAACCUCCAUAACUGUAUCCAAACAGCUCCUGCACAACAAGCACCUGGAGAGCAACGUGGUUAAGACCUAGAAAAAAACAACAACCGCCAGUUGUUUCAGAAAACGGUGCAUGUGUACAUUCAGAUGAAUGAGGUUACGGACGUGUGACAGGGCGUUGGUAUAGGGUAACAGAGUUCACGUAGAGGCACACCUUUUAAUCCACAUGUUGCAGUUCAUCUGUGCAGGUUCUGUGGUGCAGAAGCUCCCAACACAGCACAGUGUUCUAAAAUAUUUCCCUAAAUUGGCAUCAAGGGUCCAACACCGUGACAACAGCUGCAUACAGCUGUACACUAGUACAAGUACACCAUACGUUUUGGAGUCUAACUGUAUAGCAACGGCACGUUUAGCGCUUCGCAUGCGCAACACGUGGAUUAACAGCAGAAAUUGUGCCGCGUCGGCGGUUUGAGCAGUUUCUUGUUAAGUUAUGACACAUUUUCUUUCUGGCAGUAACUCUGGGCCUUUAUUGUAAUCCAGCGUGUAACUGAUGUGAAUCCAAGCUGACUACAUCUGCCGUCCUCAGAGAAGGAGCGAACUACAAACCUACUAAAGCUUACUGGGGAAGGAGCUUUUUGACACAUUCUUGCUUUAAGUUACUUUAAACAGUGACAGAUAUUUCACGCAGUCAAGGUUAGUUAUUGCAGCACCGUCAAAAAGAAGAAAUUCAUACAGAAAGCACAUAAUGUUAUAAAAUAUUUCAAUUUCAUGGUUGGAUAAAUGAUUGGGAAUAAGGGAUAUUAACUCCAACCGGCUGAGAUAAUUUGUCUUUUAAAAGGUUUAAGGAGUUUAAUUACACACUUACAGAGAAAAGAGCAUGUUCAUUUUCCAUCUGGUAUUUUAUCCAUUUAAAAUCCUGAAAAGAGUUUAUUUAUUUUUCGCGGCAGGGACCUCUGAUAAAUCCCAGCUACCCACUUUACUACAUCGACCUAAUGUUGAUGGGACCCCCGUUUAUUCAGGCCGUUGAAUUGGGCCGUGAUUUUCUUAUGAGAUUAUGCACACGGCAAUCGAGUCGAGCUAGAGGGAGGGAGCGAGAGAGACGGGCGCCAGAGCAGCUCGAGACGAGGACGCCGCGGCACACGGGGGCCGAUUCCUCCACUGUCGACUGUCCCGUGGCUCGGGGGGGGCCGCGGCAGGCAGCUGUUGUUGUUUGGUUGAAUGUAUUAAUAUCUAAAAACCAAGACAAUUUACCAGAGAGAAACGGAGCCCCCGCCCGGUCUGUUUUUUCCGGGGGCCCAUUUCCGGUCAGCUGUUCGACGGCGCGGCUGGCUUCCGUCUCCCUGCCUCCUCCGUGAUUGGCUGAUUCUGCUCCAAGGACGGCGAUGUUGGGAGCUGCAGCGGCGAUAAAGAGCCAAGCAACUGACUCAUAUUGUUUAUAAAGGAAUCCGUGCCGGCGUGGGUGUGAAGAGGUGGAACUCUUUGUUUAUGUGUGUGUUUGUGUGUGUGUGUGCUUUGUUUUUUUAAUCUCUGGCAGCUAUUUAACAUCGAUGCAUUCAUAUUCAGAUGUGCUUCCAAGCGCUGGUUUUUUUUCUUUUUUUAAGGCCCUUCUCUCGUUAUAGGUGGCUUGAUCUGGAAGGAGGAGGCAAUUAUUUCUGAUUGGACACAGAUAAAAGGCUUUGCUAAGUGCGUACGUGCCAGGUCUCUACUGUGCCGUGGCUGGUGGUUCAGUGGCAUCCACGCCGGAUUAAAAUGACGGCAGGACGGCAGAUAACGGAUCGGUUAUAUAAACAUGUGUGAUGUGGUUCAUGCAAUGUGACAAUCACUUUGCCUCGGAUGUGGUCCAGUAACUGAGACCUAAUGCAAAAUCUUUGGAAUUAGCAUUUUUAUUAAAGGAAGUAAAAGUAAAACCACGGGCAUUUCUGAAGGGCCUGAAUGGAAAGUAGCCUCCUGAGUAUGUGACAUAAUGCCAGCGUCUCAAUCCAGCAUAAAACAACAUGUUUACAUUCAUCGGACCUCAUAUGACUUUAUAAUUAUUACUUUUGACUCCUAAAAGUAAAACAUAAAGCCCACAGGUUUUCUGACGUUAUUAUAGCAUCCAAAAAAACUCUUGGUCACACUUGGUCGGACAACUCCUGCAAUUACUUUGGAAUGAGUCGUGAUUAAAGAAAGGAUCAAAAUCAACGCAUAAGAAAAAGAGAUUAUGUCUUUCUUUAUGUGUUUGAUGUGCAUCGAACCUUUUCAUCCAGUGUCAACAAAGCUUUAUCCCCAAGGCUUUUGUAAAUGAUGAUGAAUCAUUAUAUAUAUAUAACACGUAUUGUGUAUCACCGCAACAUAUCAGCCUGUAUGGGGAUUAUUGUAUUUUGUCUUGAGAGGAAAGUUAACCGACAUUAAUAUUCAAAACAUUAACCGCUCUGAGAAAAGCACACAUACAAAAAAAAGCUCAAGGAAAUAGUACGCUGGUGUUACUGUAAAUCACAGUGAACCGAGGCCGACUGGACCGGAUGUUGUGUUAGCGUCUUUGUGGUUUCUCUUCUUGUUAAUGUUCGAGAUGCAGCGGCAGUGUUUCUCUCUCUCGAGGACGCGCUCCGUUUCAGUUUCCGCAGGCUACUCAAUUUUCUGAGAACUCUAUGCAAACGCCAUCAUGGGGGUACACCCCCUCACUUUCUGUGUCUAAUAUGACAACAUCUCAAUUCUAUGCUGGAAAAAUUGAAAAAAAAUAAAAAUAAACAAAAAAAUAGAAAUGCCAAAUGAGCUUUACUUGCCAACCGCUAUGAACACAAAAGAUGUGCUUUGACAUGUAUGACUUGGCACCGGGAGUCUUUUCUGUAAGAUAUGAGCUUGAUAAGGAUACAUAUUAAAUUCCGUCAGCAAAUAUCUGAACUUGAGGAAUGUCACAUGGUGGUAAAAUAAUAUUUUACCCGCAUGUCUGCUCUUAAGAUUUCAGUGAAACCGUUGCACAAUUUGUAACCUUAAAGUAGUGAUUUCAUGUUCUCUGAGAAAUAGAGGAAGAAGAAGAAGAACAGGAAGUCUGAGUGCCCUGUCAAACACGUGUGCAGACUGAUUCAAUACUGUAGGUCAAGCAGCUCCCGUACUCCAGUGAAAAUAAGAUGACCUGCUCUACGGCAGCUAUUUAAGUCAAAUAGGGCUUUUGUACAGCUCAGUCCGAGACAUGAAGGUCAGCGUUUGGCCUUUUUGCUCUCUCACUCAUUGCUAACACAAGACGGCCAUCUUUAACUAUCUGACUGAUAUCAUUAUCUAAGUCCUAAAAAGACCCAUAUCGAUGGGACGCCGGGAUCAGCAGAUCAACCAAACCAACCUCCUUUGUGCCGUUCAAAGUGACAUAUUAAGUUGAAUAAUGUAGUUAAAGGACAUGAAAAUGCCACUUCGAUGAUGUGUCUGUCUGGCACGUUUACCGGCCCCCAAACGCUGCAGUAAAACACCUUGCGUGUGUUUUUUAUGAUUCCUGUAAUGAAUAAACGUUGAUUAAAACAACCUGUUUGGAUGUUGUGGGGUUUUGGUGACGUCAUUAGAACACGGGGGGUACGAUGGGGGGGGAGGGGCUCACAUGACCUCGGCCCUCCCCCUGCCACACCCCCCCCCCAGCACGCCUCAAAAUGCGCUGUAUUGGGCUGCACAUCAGGCUCAGAAGACACGAGAACGAAAAGGAAAAAAUUGCAUAUAUGAAGACCGCCUAUCGGCAAUAAUUGGGGAAAAGCUGUGAGUUUGAGCAAAAUCCUUUUUGAGGAUCAUUCAGACAACACAAGAAAAAUGAUAUGCUUUUUUUUAACAUCAAAGCCUGUGAACGUCUUAAAAGGUGGAAACCCUGAAUACAAAAAUUAGCAUGAUAUGUCUCCCUUCAGUAUGUAUAACUCCACUGGCAGGCGGCCUGUUCUGGUACUAUACUUUUACGCAUGUAACGGCACACAGUGGGCUUUGACUGCUCCACUGGGCGAGCAACAACCGUCUCGACUCCCUGCGGAGCGCUCGCUGGAAUCUGCAUUCUUCUUCUUGUUUGUGGCGGGCCGACGCCACUAUGAAGACGUCUUUCAUGGGGUGUCUGUCAACCAUAACAAACUCAAUUACUCCAAGGGUAGCUGCUACCAAAAAAAGUAAUUUCACACCAAUUAACAGCUGCAACAACAGAAUCUGCAAUUUGGCUUUGCCAACCCCUUCAAACCUGCCCGCAGCCCUGACAAUGUGAUACAAUGAGGUCAGUCCUAAGCUGAGCAUGAUGAUCAUAAUGGCUCCAUCUAUAUUUCUUUUUCCAUGAUGAAGUACGAAUAAUAAAAAAAAUAUCCACACUACAGGGGAGCGUCUACAGGGGGAAAGGACUCUGAAGAAUAGAGCAUUCCUUUAAGUGCUAAACACACACCCGCUGUUUGAGGAUAUCGGGAGAUAAUUAAAACCCGCACAAUACCUGCCUUUGCCCCAUUGGUUUUUAUAGCGAAUGUUAAACUGCCAGAUUAUGUUUAAUGAAAAUUGGGUUCUCACUGCGGCCAGAAGAGGGGAGAAAAAAAAAAUGAGCACGGGUUCCAAUAACCUCCAGUGGUGCUGCGUUGCCGUUAAAACCGUCGUAGAUAACACAGCUGUGGAGCGAAUGGCAUUCAUCAUGUACUCGAGCGUCUACCACACUGAACCCGUUGGGCCUUAAAAAUCCCUUUUAUUAUGUUGAGCCAGCGGGACGCGGCCUCUUAUCGAAUCUCUCAUCCCAUAGGUCCUGUUACGGGUUAUUUUCUCUGUGGGAAUCUUAUUAUUGACGGAUUUCUCAUUUGAAUAAUUUUGCAAUAACAGGAAAAUGAAUUUCCUGUGUCCCUCGCCUGCAAGUAUUCGCGCAGCUAAAAAGGGUAUCAGUGUUUUAAUAGCUUGCCUUUGGUUGUUGUAGCAUCAGUAUGAACAAAGACUGGGAAAUUAUUGAAAUGUUUCCUGCUUGAAAAUAAUCUUCUGCUAAUAAGGGUUUGUAUUUCUCUGUCACCAUGGUGAUACUUGUGGAUUAUUAAAUUCAUAGUUCUUAAUACAUACCCUUUUGCCAUCUGUUUGAUGGGAUUUAAUGAAGAAUAUAUAUAUUGGGGUUACUGUGCUUCUAAUGAAUCUGUUGGAAAGCAACACGCUGCAGCGCAUUAGACUGUGAGGCUGCAAAACACCAUAAAACCAUUUAACAGACAAGUGAAAAUUUUACUGUUAGCAAAAUGCAGUAUAUCCUAAUGUUGGAUUGUAGGUUGUUAUUAUUAUAGCAAUAAUUAGCAGAAGGAGGUAAUUCGGCCAAUGAUUACGCUCUGGCACAAUUGCAUGUUAACACUGUUUCUCCAAAAUCCUUGUCUGAAGUCUCGUCUUCUUUGUUUAACCGUGUCAACUGAUCCUGGUUGUCGAGAUUUCUGAACAGAAAAAAACAACAAUUCCAUAAUUACCCAAACCAGAAAUGUUGGCUUCAAAGUGCUGUUGCAGUCUUUGUUUCAUCCUUUCUGUUCUCUUGGAAGCCGGCAGCGGGACGGCACUCGGUUUGGAUCUAUAAUGGCUAAUUAGACUUCAUUCCUCCUUCCAAACACGGGGAAGUUGUUAGCACAGGGUGUCUUCCCGCUCCUCUACAAUUUCCCCCAGACGUUCCAUUAGGGAUCGCUGUUUGGUUUUUUUGAAAACAAAAGAGAAAUCGUCUAAACAAGCAGACAGCGGCCACAAACUUUAUUAUUUCAGGGCUCGUCGACAAGUCGAUUUGAUGGAUCGCCAAGAGUAAAAAAAAUGAGGGAUUAGAAACGUUGUCCUGACCUUGUGUUCCGCCUUCUUUCCACAGAUGUGCUUUCUGUGAACUCUUGAGAGCCGCCGAUUAAAACCAUUGUUUUGAGAGAAUUACAUAAUUUAUCUUUCUGAUUGUUUGAGAACAAAAUCAAUGUGGACGGAGCAGCCAACAACGAUGUUGAGGGUCAUUACCGUUGUGCGGCUCGAUAUGGUUUCCCAGGGCAGAAUAGAAAUGUUGUAGAAAGUCUUCCACGAGAGUAAGAAAAGUUCUGUCAUUUUGCACAAACCCCAAAGUCGUAGCUCUGGAUCUAAAGUGCACAGCGUCGAGCAUCACCGUGUUUACUGCUCAUAUAUGAGCACUGAAACUCUACGACCUGCACUAAUCUGAGCAAACGUGUAAUCCCUCAACCCAUCAACCGUAAAAACUUUGAAAUUACUCCACAUCAGGGUCAAAAGUUUGAAUGUGAAAUAUCCCCAAAAAUAAAAGUCCCAAAAAGAUUUGAAACUUGGAAAUAUAAGAUUUAAACAGCAAAUAUUUAAAAAAAUGUAAAGUGAAGAUUAAAAAAUAUUUCAAGUUUUAGUUGGCUCACUUAGGUUCAGGAAAAGACGAUGGUUUGGGUUUGAGGUCUGCACACCAAAGGCUUGCAGACCUUUGGUGUGGACGGCGGUCUGAUACAGCAGAUGAAAAUAUCUCCACACUCAUGAAUAUUCCAGCAGGAUUUAGAGGGAGUAUUUUGGAGCUGCAGUCCUUCAGAUCUGACUUCCCUUCAUGUGACAAACUCUCUAGAUCAGCGAUUCCCAAAGUGUGGGCCGCGAAGGUACUGCAGGUGGGCCGCGAGAGGUAAUUUACAAUGAUUCGAUUUUUCCAUUUUUUUAAGUUUGAAAUUAAUAUAAAAAUAUUUAUGAUGCGGCACAUUGGUUACGUGAAACAUUAGUUGAUGAAGCACAAACAAUUUAAAUGGACAGAUUAAUAAAACAAUAAGGCUCUCGCUCGAAACGGCUGCUGUAAAUAUACCGCAUUUUCCGCACUCCAAGGCGCACUUAAAAGGCUUUAAUUUCCUCAAAUAACGACAGUGCCUUAUAAUCCGGAGCGCCGUAUAUAUAUGGAUCAAUUAAUCGGUUAAUCGGUUGAUCCAUACUGGUUGUACACGGCGCUCAAGGCGCUCUGACAAACAUUUUUGUUGAUUCAAACUCACGUUCACAUCUCGGAACAACUUUCCAAGCUGUUGCCGUUAAUCCACCAUAAAAGGAGCACUAAAUUAUACGACUAUGAUAUGUGGUGCAUCAUAGAGCGUACUAAUAACCGUUACAUCAAAAUAUAACAAUACAAAUGGCCCCCUCGUGUAACUCAAUGUAUCAACCACGUUACUAAAAAAAGAAAACCACACAGGAAUGUAAACUAAUUAAAAAGGAGGACAUUUGCAUUGAAUUACUAACACAUUUACAUUUACAAGAGCAAUUGAUCAAGUAACUAUAACCGGUACCAGGCACAUGACUGCAUAAGAAUUAGCUAUCUAGCUCAACCUCGGCCCCGCUUGCUGCCUCAAGGAGAUUUGGUUUGCGAGGGGCCGAGUGAGUGGCAGCUGGGGAGUAAGUGGCAGGUCCCGGGACGAUUUAGACAAUCAACAGGCACUUUGUACAAAAGACACAUCAAUCCCUUUUGAUUGUAGAGAGAAAAAAGCAGCAUAAGAAACACGGGGGAAUAUCGGUCUGCUGUCGACCGUAACCGCGCUGUUCCAACGAGGCCGGACAGCGUCUUCCAAGCCGCUGAGCUCUGUACCGAACCAGUUUUGCGCCGCCCGCCAACUCAAUUCCAGCCGAGGCCCCCGUGCAACUUUUGCUCCGAUAACACCGGAGAUGGAUUAUCGAACCGCGCUGGUGCCACACACCUCGCUCUUCUGUGGCUCACACGUUUCCAGCCGACAGGCUUUAACCUCGGAGUCGAUGGAGGUUAGAAAACGAGAUCGAGUUAAACGGAGACACGGAUCGCUGAGGCCGGCGAGGGAUUACUGCACACGGGCGAGUUAAACGCGCCGCGGCGCCGGCGGGGGAAGGCGGGGUUUCCCCCCCCGCUGCCAGACGAGGUUUGAAUCGUACGGCGCGACAUAAAUCUCGUGACCUCUUCUGGCUUUGAAAUAUCGGGACUUGCCUCCUCAACUUCGGCACUCAUGAUUUACGGCUCCUACAAGGUCGCGCUGGUGAUAGAUCUCAGCGUUACAGGUUUACUGCCAACAGGUUCCGGUCCAAAGCGCCAUUCAGAGGUUGAGCUGCACAGCAGCCGUAAACCCGAUGUACCCGGUCUUUGUUGAAAUAUCUAAUCUGAUGUUCACGCAAAGAGCAACGGAUGUUCUCGGAAAGGUAUUGAUUGAAGACUUUGAUGACGCCCGAUGCAGCUAUUUGUUGUUGAUAAAUCUUGAUUCGUUGAUUUCUCUGGAUAAAAGGCCCAAAAUGAUCUGUGAUCCUCCACUAAGGAGCACAACCUCUAUUCAUGUCAACUGUGACAGUGGUUGUUGAGAUAUUUACCUUUGGCCCAGCGCAGGUCCGACGCACAAUGCCUCCUUUAAAGAAAAUGUCACGACACCUUGGGUGUAAUUGUUGUUGUUCAUGUUCCUGUCAGGAAGAGAAACACUCCCCAUAAUGAACAAACACUGUGGAGUUUGGGCUGCAAGUCAAAAUAUAGACCCGUGUUUGAACGUAUCCAUGGGUUCAUUUUUUGUAACAUUUUGCUGCUUGAGAAUUGGAGCUAUUGCUCAAAUAAUGUGAAGCAAGAAAGAAAUGCACAAUUUCUAAUGGCGAAAAUAUCAGCCUUGCAAAUGCUCCACGAGGAAGCCUCAGCAGUUCAAAAUAAACAUCCUGUAUAGCAAAACCUUUUGGGGCGAGAAAAUAAUGGCAAAUAACUCAAUUUGUCCAUCCCACUUUACUGACGGAUGUCCCAGUCCCUUCAUCUUGUGAACUCGUGCAUAAACACUUCCCAGAAGGUCAGACCUUCUCCGCCACAACCCGUCCCUUAAUACUUUAGUUUACGUGAUGUGGAAUUAAUAAAACAAAGAAAAGGCAACAUUUGUACGACAUCGUCCGUGCUCUUAAUUGACACCCUUGAGACAGUUUUUAUCCCAGUUCCACAAUUACAGCAGCUAGAGGUGAUAAUCUCUUCACUUCUGCACUCUUAUGUCCAUCUCAUGGUCAUGGGAAGAAUGCUUAUCCAAUUAAAAUCAAACACACAAGAUGCAAGAUGCAUGGAAAAGCAGCUAGUAUGUCCAACUGCAGUCCAGUUUCCUCCUUGUUGAGCCGGCUUCUUUAAAAAGAAAAAAACCCGUCCAGUACUUGAAAGACUGGCACUGAGUGUGCUUUCAAUGUGCGUUUGAUCCUGCGCCCCUCGAGAAGGUCUUUACAAACCUAAAAGUGGGCAAGUGUCCCCCUCUUAAUGAGCGCAGCACAGAUAUUAUUCACUUGUGGAUCCUGCUCUCAGGCAGCUCGACCUGUGCAAAAUAACGCCGCUGUACUCAGUCGCGGUGUGAUGCUAAUGAGCUAAUUUAAUCACAGCUUGAGGCUAAAACGCGUGAUGUACAUUUUUGAGUGAGCCGCUGCCACAGUUUUAGGAGGAGGAACGAGGACUUUAGGUGGAAUACUGCAAAAAACUGAACUGAAAACUUUCUCUGGUGGCCUCUGGAUGCUUAUUGAUUAUUAUCUGUGGCUCAGAAAAACACGGCUAAGAAAAAUCUAGGAGCAAAUCUCAGAGAUGUGUCAUGGAAACGUGAGAGUUUAGUUUAUCUUCUUGGACCAAUCUCCAACACACCGAGACGCAAGAACAAAUGUGACUGUGCGCUACGUAACAGACUAUAACUGUUGGCUGGUUUCAGUUCUGUGCUGCAGCAAUGAAAGACAAAACAUCUCAUCCGUUACUUUAGCGAGAAGAAUGUUUUCAUCAUGACGAAUAAAAUGACCAAAAGAAGUUUUAAUAAUCCGGCCAGGUCCUUUGAUUUUAACUUGCUCUACCCACGUAUGUCUUGUAUGUUAUGACCACGACUGUUGCCAUGCAAAUGUAAAAUCAGCUUUAAGCAGGCAACAGGCAACAACCAAAUCAGAAAAUGUAUAUUUUUAAAUAUUGUAGUAUCACAAAUUCUCACAGUGCGCGAGCAUAUCUCAUAAUUAUGAGACCCGAAGAUACAGAUUCAGAUCUCGUCAUUAUGAAAUCAUCAAUCAAUGUAAUUGCAAGAUUAGCAUUUUGUAAUUAUGAUAUCGUUCCUCAUUCAUUAUUUGUGAAUGUAUUUAUGAAGAAAAGAAAGAGAUAACAAGCACACAGUUGUGAGAUAAGGUCCCUACUUAGUUCUUGGUCCGGCUUGCAGGAUGCUUGUGUGCACUCUGUGUCAAUAAUGCAUUGACUCUAGGCUUUGGGCAGAGUGUCAUAAACAAGCUACUAUGGUGCUUUUUUGUUAAUUGGGCCUUAAAUCAAAGACAUUACACUGAAUAAAGCCACAUAUCCAGAGGGUGGAUAAGUAAAAUGAUUCAACAGCCAACAAUAAAUAGACACCAUAAAAGUGGCAGGGAAUCGAGAAGCUCCAGCCAAUCUGAGUGAUGCGAGUAACAUGAGAACAGGGACUGCGAGAGCGAGCCGUGACAGUUCACACUUAUUUUGCUUCAGAGUGUUAUAUUUCAAGAUAAUUUCCACCCGUCUCCCUCCAGCUCAUCCGUCCAUUUGCAUAUCCUAUUGCAAAGGUUUGGCAGCAACCGACAGCCUUCUAAUUCUGUUGUGAAACAUCUCUGUCUGAAUCCAAUAUGCGUUUUCUCCAUGCCGAGUGCUGGCACAACCCACAGUAAGUGGGAGACUUAUAUCACCAAAUAACACUGCCAUUGACUCACGGGCAGAAUGAUCAAUACCACUCAAGCGUUUGGAAGAUUAAGAAAUAACAACAAUGUUGAAUACAGUGACUUGUAGAGAGCCGGGAGUGUGCAGGUGCUCAAUAAAGGAGCUUGUCCUCAUUAAGAGAACAGGUUCGAAUAAAGGGGCUUGAUUUUCAGUGCCGACACUAAACAGGAGCGACCUGAUGGAUUCAGUGCAAUUAUUAAAAGGUGCAAUUGGUCAAAUUUGACUGGCUCUUACGCAAGAAUGGACUUCAUCUAUCGGUGGGGUUUCUUUGCACGUUCUCCAAAGGGAUUGUUUGUGAUUACCUGACUUGUGUGUUAGGAUUUAAAAUGUUCUAAACAGGCAGCACUAGGGGGAGGGAACCGAAGAGCAAAAGCCUUCCUGAGCGGGGCACCAGGGGGAGGGGCGUUGGAUGUGCGUUGCAAUAGCCGAGAGGGUGAUGACGGGCAGAGGGGUUGAUGCGAGGUAACGGUGUGCAGACCCUUACUCUAGGACGUAUGCCUUGCAGCAAUACAGUCUGUCCCGGGUAUCGCCCAGCCCUUUUUUUGUGACCACUGCGUAGCUAACCAGGCUGUUGGGCGAAACGCAUUAGGCCUCCCUUCACUCACAUUUCAUUUUAUGUGAUUCAACCCGUGACCUCACUUGAUUUAGUUAAGAACAAACAUCCUUUUAAUUUAAAAUUUGUUGUGCGUUAUUUUGAUGACGGACCUCGGACCAGAGGGGCGCGGCCCCCCCCGAGCAAGUCUAAAACACUAAACUACCUCCGGCAUGUUUAUUAUGGAAAUGCUCCUUAUUCUCAUGGCCCCCUGAGCAGUACAUCCUAUUUGUCUCAGCUGCACAAACAUUCAGACAUUGCUUUUUAAGCCCCUUGAACGGCGGAAGGAGCUCCUGACUCUUGAUGUGGAGUGGGAAUUAUUGUACAUCUGUUGCACAGGUAACCAAACAGCGUCACAGUCAUUCACAUAAGCUGGUUAGUGUUAGUGCAGACACUAGUUACUCACACUGUUGUUUUGCUGCAGGGUUGUCCUUUUCCUCUCCGAUCGUAUCUCCGCUCAGGGAUUGAAGGUGAAAUAACUUUGUCUUUGUCUCCUAGCGAAAGUAAUGCAGUGAAAUAAUGUUAAACUUACUUACUACUCAGGAUGCCGCGUAAUGAGUAAUAAUGUAUUAUUCUGUGUCCUGCCACUGCAACAACAAGCAAAUACAGUAAUGAGGAAAGAGGAAGAGUUUCCCUGCAAGGCUUUAGACUCAUGACCGGUGUGUUCUGUUGGAUUUUAAGCUGUGAUUUGUCCAUGACGUGUUAACAAAGUUCAUCAAAUUAAAUUGAACUGCAUUGUUCGAAUAUUGACGGAGACAUUUUUAUAAAUCCUUUUUUAUUGAGCGAAUGCUUUUGUAACUGAUCCAGGGAACUGUGUGCACGUCUGUCUGCUGUUUUGACUAAUUAUGUAAAUUAAAUUUUUAGUUCAUCAGAAGUUCAGGGAGAGUUGGCAGGGGAGGAUGAGAUAAUUUGAGAAAUCAUUCAUUCUUUCAGCAAUUUGCAUUUCAUUUAAGGGCUCCACCAUGACCCGUUCGCUUCCCUGUCUCUGGGAUGAAACAUGAUUCAUUCAUGAUGCCAGGACGAAUACCGCUGCUCUCAGAUCACUCACAUAUUUGUUCAUCGUCAUGUUCUGGGAUUUUUUUUUGGCCAUCAUGAGCAAAAACACGUAUACGCCAGCUAUCAACAGGUUUCCUGCUUAUAAUAUUUAUGAAUAAAGAAUUGUACUGAGCCUGAAAAAAAACCCUGUUGGCUGGACAGAGAUGCUUGUACCACAUAUAUGUGAUCCAUGUACAGUACAUCUCCACAUCGCUGUUAGACCGCAACUCCGAUUGAUUGUUCCAAAGAGCAACAACCUCUUUCACAGCAGGUGAGGUGUUUAUUGUUGCUCUGUUUCAGCGGGAGUCCACAGAUUCACAAUUCAUCCAUAAAGUAUGUGUCUGUGCGAUGACUCUAAAUGCACGUCCAAUACAGCCGUGUAAAUUAAACAAACGUUACAGGGCGCCAUCAAUUGAGCAUCACGGAGGCCUUGAAAAGUCAUGAAUUUACUCUUUUCUCCAGCAGUCAAUCAAAGCACUCCCAGCGCUGUGGGAGAAAGGGUGAGUGAGGAAAUCGAAGGCAACGGCUGUUGUGUGUAAGAAUCCCCGCACCGCAGUUGCUGAUUUAUUUUGUUUGCGCUCCCUCGACUCUUUUCCCUCGCUUACCUCUCCUUUCCCCCUCGCAACGUCUCUCUCGCUCUCCCUCCACAAUUAUCUCUUAUAGCCUGCGAGGUGAUUAAUGGCUUUCAUUUGAGGUCCUCUCCUACCCUUCGCCGAGCACCAACAAAUAAAAACUAUGGCCCAACACACAAAUUGUCCCUCGGAAGAGCCGUAAAACUGGUGGAAAUACGGGGGCUGCAAAGACAAUGAAGCAGAGAGAUCUGGCCUUUGGAAAGGAAAACAUUUGCCGAGGAACGGCCUGGAACGAUUUCCUCUGCAGCCUCUGUCCCCAGAGAAAUCCCCCUACUGCUAAUCUACAGUUAUUGCUACUGCCGACGGCAGUCUCCGAAUUAAAGAAGGGAGGGGGAUAAAAAACACUUAGACCUUAUCGUCCCUCCACUUCCCGUUGCUAUAAACUCUUUUCUUCCUCUGCGUAGCAGAGAGGUCUUACGACUGGCCUUAGUUAUCCCGUCAUUGGCUAAAUAUUUCGGAAUGAGAAAAGGGUACAGCCCCAUCGAGUCGGGGUCAAUUGAUCUUUUGAUUUCCAACCCGUGGUUGCCGGAGGAGGUAUUUAACGUCUGGAAUUUGGAAUACGCACAGCCUUACCAUUGCCAUUGAUAUUCAAAAAUGGGCGAGGAAUUUCUAAUGUUCACCAGAUUUUUUUCAGACAUUCAUAGUCCUCAGAGGACGAGUCCUACUAACCUUGGUGAUCUCCUCACUUGUCCGCUUCCUCCACCUUCAAAAAGGUAAAACGUUUUGCUAAUCCUAUUUUUUUCCCAUCAUCCACCAGGUGCACUGACAUGAAGUUUCGUACCAGGAUUCACGGUUCCCAGAUGUCGUACCUUACUGAAUUUCACUUGACAUUUCUUCUCCUGCCACCAUGAGAUUAAUUCGAUUUGAGGGAAUGACUCAACAACUAUUAGUUGGAAUGCCAUGAAGCCCGGUACACGUCUAUGCCCCCUGGGGAUGGAUUGUAAUCAUUGUGGGGAUCCCUUGACUUUCCCUCAGCAACAAGGGCAUCCGCUACCUCUUGGGGGCUCAAAGAGUUACUGCAGUUGGAGGGGAGACAGAGCUGCUCUUCCCAAAAGUUAAAUAUGGCCCAAAAAUACCUUUUAUUCAUUGCAGAAGAUACAGCCAUCAACCGCACUGUGUUCAUAUAAUCACAUGAAACCGAUUUUUUACAAGGAGACUUUGCUCUGAAGUUCAUCUAAAGAAAUGCAUUAUCAGCACCUGAUACAUCUGACGCCAAACCAAGUCUUUCCCUGCGUAUUUUCAGACAGAGGUGGGCCUCCCCUUCAUGCUCAAAGCCGUUUUCGGCUGUCUUAUCCACGAGGCGUGGUGGGAAAUGCCAGCCCAUGACAUUCAGCUCAGUAAAGGGUACAUCUGCUUUGCAGUUCGCAUCUGUCUGACCACUUACCAAACUCUGUCUGGGCAUCAUUAACGUAUGUCCGCCGUCCUUCUGACAACCGGACCCUAUGUGAGACAAAUACAAAAGGGAGCCCCGAGGUCAUCCAGGAGUACCGGAGAGGAAAAGGACAAAACUAAUGUUGCUGUCCGCCGCGGUCACAGCCACAGCACCGCUGUGUCGAUGUAUCCCAGCAUGAAGUAGAAGCAUCAGCACAUGCAGCAUGACAUUUCAUUCAUAACCAAAGGCCUUGCGUGUCGCAUUUUCCCUGCAACGAUGGUCUAAUGCCGUUCACAUGCGGGAACGGGACGCAAGCAGAGCUGAGCGGCCUCCUUAAAGUUUGCUGAUUUUGAAGUUGCUAAAUAGCAAUGGGAGAAUAAAACCCACACACCGCCUCAGCGAAGGUAUUCAGCCGAAGUGGCUCUACAAUCAGCAAAGUGCCCGGAACACCACAGUGUUUUACAUUAACAAGGAAACCAAAGCAAUGUGUAAGUCAGAACGGAUAUAAAUCAUUUAAAUAACCUGCCUCCAAACCUUCAAUUUAUAACAGGGAGCGGAAUGGGAGGUCUGUGUUAGCGGCAGCUUCACAAAGCCUUUCAAUAAACAUAUGAACAAUUUCGGGUGUGUUGUCACAAUCUGCCCGCAGCGUUGAUCUUAAAAUCGAUGCAUUGAGGAUAAAUGAAAUGCCACAGAGGGGCGAAUGAUCAAGCAGGAAGAGACGGGGAUGAACUGAACUGAAUUAAAAGGUGAUUAAAACAGUGUCUCUAUAAAUUGCUACGCUUGGAAGCUGGCGAACAAUGAGGACAAACAGGGCUGUAAAAGAAAGAGGCAGUUAACCCUGAUUUGUUGAGAAAGCUCUUUUUUUCCCCCCGAAUGUGCCUUUUUCAGCUUUUACAUUUCAGCACGUGUAAAACGUCUUGCAAAAAGUGUGCUACAAGCCGGCUGACUUGUGCGUCAGCACAAUCCUGACUCCAACUGGUUCCUUUGAACACAAGUACACACAGCUUAGCGAUGCGCGACGUGAGUAGCAAUGUUAGAUGCUUCCUCAAAAAAACAUACAUUGCUUCUGUGCUCGGAUGCCGUGUAUGCUUAAUCAUAAGCUGCUAUUAAGUGCUUUCAUUGUUCUGCCAGGAUUCCGGUGCUCGAUAUUGAGAGGAAGUGCGUUUGGUUCCUGCUUUACACUGGAUUAAACUAAUCUGAUUUGAGCCUGUGAUGAAUCUUAUUGGAUUUGUGCUGCAACGCCAUAACCCGGCGAGGCCGGGGAGGACGAUGGAGCGGUGCGGGGAUGAGGGGCGAGACUGGGUGAUAGAAAAAAAAACAAGACAACUUUAAACCCCCCCCCCCCAACCCCCACCUUGAAAUCCAGAAUCACUGAAUGUGCGUUAAAUCCUAAUUUACUCUUGAGACAGAACGGGGGGGGCAAUAGGACAGAAGAGGCAAAUUAUUAUGUUCGAAGAGCAAAAUCCUUUGAAUUUCAGAUGAAAGCAAGUAAAACCUUUUAACUGGCUCAUAAUACGCCUGUGGCACACGAGCUCUUAUCUAAACACACUAUUAUUCUGCCCCUGGCAGACAAUAGUAUUUGUACGGAGUGGCCGGGUAUGUUAGAAGGAUGAUUGCUGCUUUGGCUUCAAGGGUCCUGAAUGUCAUAUUUGCGUCGCUUGAGAAGAGAAGAGAGAAGUUCAUAGCCAGAGUGUCUUCAAUCCAUCGGCUGGCUUUUCUUUUCUUUUUUUCAAUGUAUUACUCAGCAGCGGAGUGAUUUACAGCGUUCCGGUACUGCAGCCCGAGGAGUAAUACCUUCCAUUUGGUCUAAUUCAGUUUUAGUGACAAACCUCUCCCACUGGGUAAAGCCAUUCCCUCUGAUCACCUCACUGCUUAAGUGGCCAGCAGGAGUGUAUGUCAGUAGCACAGUGUCCCAAUGUGGCACCGUGACAACAACUUGUUAAGUUCGAUUACUGUCAGAACCGGAAGAAUCCCAACAUGGACAACGCUACACUAUUUGGUAGCUCCAAUAGGUCUCUGCAAAUCGUGUCAUUGUACAUCAGCAAAAUGUGUCCAUGUUGACAUCAAAGCCAGGCUUCAAAGUUCAUGCUUUAAUUUGCAAAAGGCCGCUGACACAAUGAACGAACACACAAGCAGCUUUGUAAAGUGGCUCUUCUGGAGCUUUUGACCGUAUCACAUGAUCUUUGACGAGAAGUCCGAUGACAACAGGGCAAAGUUGCCACUGCCGAUGAAGAUCACGGCAAAGGAAUGAAAGCUCAGCUACUUAACGGCCUUGUACUGAGGUUGCCACUCCCUGUUCAUUCUUCAAAUUGUAAAAUGCUUUUAUAUUGCAACGUCAAUGCUGGGUGAGGUGGUGGCCAUCCAAGAUGUUAGUCGCAAGAAAGGUUAGCGGAAAUAGUCAGGGAGACAUGUGAUUAACGUCCAUGUGACGCGGUAACAAUGGGACAGGCCAAUGGAUCCCAGUUCCACUCCAGAAGGUUCCAUAUUCUAAGAUAGGAAAUAACUUCUUGAAGCUUUGGUAGCUACAGAUGUGUUUUUCGAAAUGUUGGUAAUAUCUCUCCAUAGUCUGGACAUUUUUUUUUUUUAACUAAUCCUUUAUCAGGUUUCCUCCAAGAACUCCAACCACUGUCAUUCUGUGGUCCGUCCACACACUCCGGCUCCCCCAAUAGAUAUCUCAUCUUAAUAACAAAGCCAACCAUGUGUGAUAUUGGCUGUGCCGGCUUUCCGAUGGCCACAAUCCAUCCACUGCACUCCAACGGUAUUUUGCUUCACCAAUAUUGAGGAAACCGUGGUUAUUCUAGCUCCAUUUUUUUUUUUCCAACAGGAGAGUGUUUUUCUCGAUGACAGGGGCACAGAAGCGACUGGAAAUAAAUCAAAUCACCCUGUUGGUCAUGCUGGUCAUUAGGAUCUGUCUCCAGGGAGUGGAGGUGAGGAGUUCGUCUUCCUGAUCCAAAUACUACUCCUGCAACAGAAGUAAUGCAAAUACAGAUGCCUGUGGAUCCGGCUCUGCUUUAUUAAAGAACGCUUUUUAAUAUUUUGUUUCAACUAAACCCCCAAAAAACAAUAAAGAAUUCUAGGAAAGCUUCUCGAUAAAGGCUGAUAUCAUGGACCUCCGUUUUAAGUGCUUCAUAUUCCUCCAGGUGACAUAACGGGAUGAAUUAAAUAACAUAACCUUCAGUCUGAGAUGAAUUCGCAAUAAAAAAAAGGAACAAGGUAUUUUUCUGCACUUCAGCAGCCAAUCAAUUUGAGCAUUCUUUCCAGUUCCUGCUUUUAAAAUAUGACCUGUAUGCCUCUUUUCAGUCAGCGUUGUGCUUGUUUCCAUAGCGAUGACUCCUUUGCUCCCACAUCCAGGCCCUGCUGGGGUGACACUUCUUCACUGAAGAAUAUCUCAUCAUUACAGCUCCUCCGCCAGACUACGGAGAGAUAUUCAGCAGAAUGUCAAUUGUCCUUGAGUGUGUUCCAAUACAUUUUCAUUGAUAUCUGGAAGGCUCAGAUGUUUGCAUUUGACAUACCAGAGAGGCUCUGUACUUAUUUCUCUGGGUGUUAUGCUGAAUGAAAAGGUAUGAGGCAGAGGAAACAGACUGGGGGGGAUUCUUUGACUUUAUGCGUGAAAAACGUUAUGAAUAGCAGUGUCAUGCUUCUAGAAAUAGUUUGCGUUUGCAUCACAAUCGUGUCAUUUGACCUUAUUUCAUUGUCAUGAAACAGAUUUUAACAUUAUGCUUAACCACGAUUUUUUUGGCAUCCCCCAAAAUGUCCCCCCCCAAAAUGUCCCCCCCCCCGCCGCGAACACAAAUUGAACAUUUCUUCAAGGUCAGCUCUCCCACAUUUAACAUCACAGCACCCCUCCUCUCGCCGGCUCUGCUGACGUUUGCUCAAAUUCGAACUGAUUUAUCCGGCUGCCUUUGUGUGAUUCAACAAAAUGACAGACCAUAAGAGGCGGCGCGGAGCUGGAGCAGGAGGGACAUGCUGCUACUCUUAACGGCCCACAAAGCCAUGCAUUACAACAAUAAUAUCUUGAUUGGGUUUCUGGCCAUGUGCCUUUUUUUUUUUCCGGGACAGUCAUUUUCAUUUAUGCAUGGGAAAUGCUUACGGCCACAAUGCACAGGGAUAAAGGGUCUUGCAGAAAGUCAAUUAGCAAAUCGGGCUUGAUUUAAUGUUCCCUCUGCCAUCUCAUCAUGCAAAACACUCAAGCGCUGUGGUGAUUUAUCACGUGCCAAUCUUUCCCACUUCCAGCGAGGACCGCACAAUGUGUGAAAUGGAGUGACUUUGUUGUUUCGGGUUUUUUCCUGCUUAUUCCAGGCAUAUGUCCGUGGCAAUCCAUAGAUGCCAAAUGAAAGAAUCUGUUUUCUUUGGAGAGCAUAUGCCAGCGGCUCAAAGACUCAUCGUUGUUCGCUCAAUUUCACAGUCUCCUCACAAUCUCCAACUUUUCCUUUUUCCCCCAUUAUUAUGUAUUUAUUUUUUUGCACUGAGUAUAAUUAGCUUAAUUACAUCGGAGAAGCCACCUUGCUGAAAAUAUCGCUUGCAUCAUCAAAUCUGCAAACUCCAGGGUGUCAGUCUGAACUCGUUUGCCUGUCGACACGUGAACAACACAGGGAAGCGGAAUCAGGCGAGCAGCAUUUGUUACAGACAGACAGACAGCGCUGGUGAACGGGUACAUUUUGCACGUGUGCACUUCCCUCCCUUUCUCCCUCAGCAUUCAUCUUCAAGCGGUCUAUCAUGGCCUAAACUGACAAUCUUCUCCGGGGGAAGAAAAAACAGAUUUCUUCUUCUCCUUUACACGCCAAAUGCUACAUGUAAGCUCAGGUGAAUGUCGAGUUGAAAGUGCUUCCAGGGCUACCGGCCUUUGAACUGAGAAGAUGUGACAUUUCCCCGAAAAUAGUUGAGCAGCUCUGGCCAAAAGCCCAGUGUGCUGACAGAGAGCAUUUGUCUUUGUGUGUGUGUGUGUGUGGGGGGGGGGGCGGGGGCGGGCCUGUAUUAAAAAAAGAGUCAGAAUAAGUGCAUGUCCGGCUUGUUGGGGAGUGUCGAGUAUCACAGCUCUGGAUGGCAGGAGAUCAAUGGAGGUGGCUCAUCCACGCACUAUAUCGGCUGCCCUGCUCGCUCUCUGUUCAUCCUUUUAUCUACUCCCUCGCAGACCCACGGUAACAAAUAAUGCAAACUAUCCUCGUUUCUCAUUUUUCGGGCACUCUCCUACGAAUGUACAGCAACACGAGCGAUUGGUGCGCAGGCGUACGCCCCCUCAGUGCAGAAGCUGUUUAGGAUACAAAUAUACUUUGUUAGGUUAAGGGAAAGAUUGGUUUGGUUUAAAAUUAGGUACAUUUUUUAUGUAACUGAGAAAUGCGGCCUUAGUUAAGUGCAUCAUUUACAUGACAAGAGUAUAGUAAUAAUAAUACAUUUAAUUUAAAUACACCACUUUACAUAAAACACGUCUCUGUAUUUUACACUCAUAUUACGUCUGCUGUCUUCCUUUGAGAAAGCUCCAGACUUUGUCAAUUAUUACAUUGGUUAUGUUGUAUAACAUAUAGGUCAUAUAUUGUAUUAGUUAGGCAGAUAUUUUAAAUCUAGCCAUCCUAUAAUGUUCUGCUUAUGUGUUUGUGUGAUGCGAUCUAAAAUCAUCACAGCUGUUAAGAAUAAAUAUUUCAAUAUAAUAGUCGUGUAAAUUAUCAUUUUUAUAUUAAAAGAACUACUGCAGCAAAUUCUAUCACCUUUCCAUAACCACUGGAAGAAUUGCAAAAGUACAGGCAAAAAUCAAUGCAUGAGAGGCAAAUAUAUCCUAACUUUUGGGUUACGCAUAAAAAACUCAGUUCAGACAUUUCCCAUUAGGGAACUUUAAUUCAAGCUCCCAGGAACAUGUUCACUGUCGGUAUUGUUUGACACACAAUGCGUGCUGUUGCAUCUUCACUCACUCCCAAAUUAGUCUUUGCAUAAUCUCAAUUGGAUCCAUUAUUUCAAUAGAAUGUUGAAAAGCUGUAUCAGAAAACUAAUAUUUAGUGUACGUGUGCCAGGAGCAGUAAUAAUUAAACCCCCAGCAAGAAUCCCAUAAGUAUGCUCUGUGGGCAAAACCAAUUGAAAGCCAGAAAAAUAACUAAAAAAUCAGUUUUCACUGCAUGCCGUUCUCUCCAUGCAUCCAUGCAUUCAUUACCCCCCUGUGCUCAGUAGAAGCCCACAUCCUUCAAACUCCACGGCCCAGUUUCUAAAACUCUCCAUUCAUUUCAAAACUCCUCUGUGGACGCUUCCUUCUCAAAGGCUGGUUAACGGACCUUCGCUUCCAAUCAACUUGAUUCAUCUGGAUCUUGUCCCUGAGCCCGUCCCCCUUCUCCAUCGCUCUCAUCCUCUUUUGGUGAUGAGAUGUCCUCCUCGCCAGAUGUUGCUGUUCCACACCUGUCCACUGCAGAUUCACCUGACUGCACUCGUCAGCAGCCAGCUCCCUGCCCAGAUGUUGAGUGAUUGCUCAUUAGCUCCUCAGUAGAUCUAGAGACAGCGUCCCACGUGAGCUGACCCGAUUGUGUGUGUUUUGUAACUAAUGUGAACCCUUGAGCAAUUCAUGCUCCUCCUAUAAGACGCUUUGAUUGUUUUUAAUCCCUUGAUUGGACUAAAGUUAAGAGGAUGUAACCGGGUAGUUGUUAUUGACUAGACAGCAUUAAUGUGUACAGCUAAAUCAUAUUUGACCUUCACUACUUCCACUUUAUACAGUUUAAAUUAUUCCUAGGGGAGGAGCCAAACGGGCAACCAAAACUCUUUGAAUGGUAAUUUGAUCCCCACUGACUCCAAACUAUUGAGCAAAAAUGAACCAUAAACAUUGAUACACUUCACCAAGGAUACACCAAGCUGUAAUUGGAUAGUGGUCUAAUUUUGGCAUUAAUGAUCUUUUUCAUUUUGAAAAAGAAAAAGCUUCCUGGCACUUAGUGAAAACGAAUGGUGACAAUUGGAGUUCAGUUUCAAUCUCAAUCUUAUUUCCGGCUAGAAUAGAAUAUGCCACUGGAACCUGCAAAUUCACUUAUUAAAGAUAAAAGACUAAAUAAUGACGUAAUACUGGUCAGUAAUAUCGUGACCCUUUUGUGGAGAUUUGGAAAUAGUUACUUUUGAUUUGAUCGCGUUAACCAGGAGGGACCUUCACUGGGAAUUGUACUCCUACAGGAUUGCAGAGGUAAAUGAACACAUAGAGUGAAUAGGAGCCAAGAGGCAUUGCUUUGAGACAGUAUUAGGAGAAGAAUAUUAAACUUGCCUCCCCGACUGGACUGUCAGUGAGCUCCAUUUAGCCCCUCUCACAGAAGAGUGAGUGGGCAGCAGACGAUGCAGGUAAUGACUGCUGUCAGUUGAUGUAAAGGUGGAAGCCUUGCCUCCACUUUCGAGCACUUCAAAGCUGCUUUCACGUCACAUUUUAUACUUUUGAUUUAUUAAUUAGCUGCUAUGCUAACAGACAAGUCAAUGGAUGAAAAGGUGCAGCAGACAGACAGCUCUGUUCAGUUGAACUCCCCUCAGCCAUGGCUGAGAGCCAACCCCGAUUCCCAAAAUUGGACAAGUUCCCCUUAAUGCCCCCCCCCCACACUCCAUUACCAGCCAAAAGAUGCUGACAUACAGGACUGAAUUCUUUAACUAUCAUCGGUCCGAUACUAAUGAUUUAAUACAUUACAAUGUUAUUUGAAGUCUCUUGUUUCUCUGCAAAUGUUUCUCUGCAAAUGCUGUUUGAUAGAAAGAAAAAAAGGGACCGUUCAUCGCAGCCGCCGCGAGAUGACGUUGCCAUAGUAACACAUCAGCUUUCUCAAUCACACGAUCCACAAUUUUUUGGUGCAUGAUAUAUAGUGAUAUAAUCAGAUUACAUGAUGCACGGUUGCCAUGGUAAUGAUCAAGAGUCUAGCAAUGGUGAUUAACUGUCUAAGUUAAGGACUUUAUCUAACAGCUCUCAUGUUAACCGUGGCUGUUCCCCUGCUUACACUCCCUCCCUCCCCCCAUCCCCCAAACACUAAAGUGCACAACACAAAUCAAUAAGAGGCCAUUAUUUAGUGUAACACCUCUUGCAAAGUAAUACUGUAAAUCAAAUUAAAUGGAAACCCAGAAAGGUCAUCCGUUCAACUUGCACCCCACAGUCUUUCAUGACUUUGCUAUUCGUUUAUUCUUUGGAGAAAUUAACGGCGAGACCCUUAGACCCACAACCGACUUUUUACAAAUGAAAUAAGUAAGCCAGUUAAGAGAGAACAACAUAGUUUCACCGAUGGAAUCAUUAAACUCCAGGCUCCACACUGGGCCCAACACACAGAUCUGACACCAGGGAACUGAGCUGCAUGCUUCAUAACUCUUGAUUGAUUGAUACACCUCUUUAAUGCAGCAACAGAAAUUGCAGUACAUCAUGGGUAGACAUAGAGAAAUAGAGGCGCAAUGUAACAGCAUUUUGUGGCUAAUGUUUAGCUAUCAGGUAUCACAAUGUAACUGGCAUUACUGUGUAAUGUUGCUGACUCCCCCUAUGACUGUUCAGCACGGUAGUCUGAGGGAAACUCUACUGUUGUAGAUAUUCUACAAUUGAUCUAAAUGGAAAGGAAAAAUACCUUGUCAGUCAGUUUUUUCCACUUAUCCGUGGAGGCAAGGUGGGG